rnacentral:lncRNA from 1 species
AAAGCCCUUAAAUCAUGAAGAAAGAAGAUUUUUGUGAAUUAGUUUUCGAGACACUCUCUCUUUUAUUUUCAGCCUCCUGCAGGACAAAUUCCAUUGCAAGUGACUCUCCUAUCCCUUCAGCUAGAAUCUGUGGCAAAUUGAACAGCAUUUCCCAAAGACUUGGAUCAAGUACAACACAAAGCCUGCUUUCUUUGAAAAGACAAGCGGGAAGGUUAUGGUUAACCAGAUAAGAACCUAUGGCUCAAUCAGUAAUGAGAAAUGCACCGUGUGGUCCCAUCCUGCAAGCAAGAGUGGAGAAGAACUUGUAGAGUGAGUUGUGGAGACUCACAAAGCAAGAACACGGAGCAGGAGACAUUUCUUACUACUCUUCAACUGCCCUCUUUCUGUUCGUAUUUCUCAUCUUAGUGGGUGUCUGCCUCCCAUGGUACACAGGAUGCUGUUAGAUGAUGUGGAUGACUUCAAUAACAUUGAGUCCCAUGGUGACAAACAAUGGACUCCCUUUGUAAUGUUCUUUCCAAGUCCCUUUGAUUAGUUAAGGAAAAAUGGCUCUAACAUUCACUGAUCUUCCUUUAUUCCUUGGCUUCAAAGCCCAAAGGCAGCAGUAGCCAGCUAGAGUUCAGGAAAUAAGUGCUGCUCUAGAAACAUAUUAGUUUUUUUUGUUACCUUCAAUUUGGC